rnacentral:lncRNA from 1 species
AGCAGUUCUCUUGCCUCAGCCUCCCAAGUAACUGGUACUACAGUUUGUCCUCGGCUGUUACAGAGAAUUGAUACAAAAAAUGAUCAUGUGAAGAAUUUGCAUCUUCUGCAGAACUACCGGUAUCAGUCAGCAGUAGGAGAUUGUAUAAAUUCAGCCUGAGAUUCCAGAAUAUUCUGUGUAUUGACCACCACAGCAAGAAGAAAAAGUCCAUGUAGGACUGAAAUGUCCUGCUCCCUGCCUGCCCAUCUUCGACCUCAGCCCUCCUCCUCCAAAGCAGUCCCUCAGAACCCCUCCUGGUUUCAGUCUGGAUCCCACCACAUGUUGAAUGGCACCCUCUCAAUCUGGGACAGCGUCCGUUGAUUUUCUCCUGUGAUAAAUGAGUGCCUGGAGUAGGGAUGGCACAGAAGAACUAUUCAGCACAUGAAGCAGUGAAUGAAAAGACAAAAGGGCAAGAAAAGGAGAGAACAGUGGAGAAAAAAGAUUUUAAUUAAAUACAUGUGGGAAUUUAUCUCUGGCUAUUA